rnacentral:misc_RNA from 1 species
UCUCCGUAGGUGAACCUGCGGAGGGAUCAUUACAGAGUCCAUGCCCUACCGGUUAGUUCUCCCACCCUAUGUUCUUAUUACUUUGUUGCUUUGGCCGGCCGUUAGGCUCCGGCCCGACUACCGGGCCCGGCUGGUAAGCGCCCGCCAGAGGACCCAAAACCCUGAAUAUUAGUGUCGUCUGAGUACCAUAUAAUAGUUAAAACUUUCAACAACGGAUCUCUUGGUUCUG